rnacentral:rRNA from 1 species
GACGAACGCUGGCGGCGUGCCUAAUACAUGCAAGUCGAACGCUGAAGAGAGGAGCUUGCUCUUCUUGGAUGAGUUGCGAACGGGUGAGUAACGCGUAGGUAACCUACCUUGUAGCGGGGGAUAACUAUUGGAAACGAUAGCUAAUACCGCAUAACAAUGGAUGACACAUGUCAUUUAUUUGAAAGGGGCAAUUGCUCCACUACAAGAUGGACCUGCGUUGUAUUAGCUAGUAGGUGAGGUAAUGGCUCACCUAGGCGACGAUACAUAGCCGACCUGAGAGGGUGAUCGGCCACACUGGGACUGAGACACGGCCCAGACUCCUACGGGAGGCAGCAGUAGGGAAUCUUCGGCAAUGGGGGCAACCCUGACCGAGCAACGCCGCGUGAGUGAAGAAGGUUUUCGGAUCGUAAAGCUCUGUUGUAAGUCAAGAACGGGUGUGAGAGUGGAAAGUUCACACUGUGACGGUAGCUUACCAGAAAGGGACGGCUAACUACGUG